ACCUACCUGCUUUGGCCUGAGUAGUUAAGGUAGCCCAUGACUGCUAGCGAGAUUAAACAGCCAAGUGCAGUUUUGGCCACGAUCUGAGGACCAUGACCACCCAGGAAACCAUCCUGGUGCCAUGACCCGGAUCACACAGCCAUCUUGGCGCACAGAAGACACCCUCCUCAUGCGAAUGGGCCACGAUUCUCUGAGAACCAUCCAACCAGCCUGCAACCUGCUUGCCCUCCUCUGUUACACUCUUACAUGGUGCCUGGGAAAAGAAACCUACACCUUAGGUUGGCCUCUUCUGGGUUACAGUCCAUCAGGCUACAUGUGGUUUGAGAGCAAGGAGAGCAGCCAAUUUCUGGGCAGGAAUGGAUCUACAUGGGACCACUGACCCAGCCUGA